CCUUGGUCCAGCCCCAAUGAGCAGCACAUGCUUGGGGCCAGUGGAGGCCAAUGGUUAUAGCCCCAGCCCCAGGGUGGCUGGGGGACACUAGUGGCUGUGGUGCCCUACUGUGCUGCCUCCUUUCUCUUCCCAGGGCUCCUAUUCUGUGGGUGGAGAGAAAGAUGACACUGUGGGCGAUCCAGGUCAUCGUGGCCAUAAUAAGCUUCCUGGAGACGAUGCUUCUCAUCUACCUCAGCUACAAAGU
rnacentral:lncRNA from 1 species